rnacentral:rRNA from 1 species
UGCCACAGCCAUAUCACCUUGUAGCCCAAGACCGGUUACUCACUAGAUAAGCAGGGUUGAGCUGGGUCAGUACCUGGAUGGUAGACCACAUGGGAAGACUCGUUUGCUGUUGGAA